rnacentral:lncRNA from 1 species
CCAGUUUGGGGAUGAGUGUCUGGGUGUGUCUGUGACUGGCAGGAAGCGGAGCAGAGCCUCCUCGGCCGCUGGGUUUGGGCUUCUGUGUCUGUGGGGUACAGACAGCAGCUGCAGGUUGCUGGGUCCCCGGGGCCCCAGAGGCUGUCCUGGUGGUGAUGGGGAUGGGUGGAGAGCUAGGAUGACAGUUAUUUCCUUAAGGGCACUUUUCUCAGUAAAUGGAAUUGUUGUAUGGAUGACUCUGGAACAAGAAUCAACUCCGCGAGGCUUUGUUCGGGCCUCUGGAUGCUGAAGCGAGACAUCUGAGGGUCUCCAAUAAUGAGGCUACUGAAGCUCUUCCAGUGGAGAAACAGCAAAAGAAAACACAGCAGGCCAGGCAAAGUGGCUCAUGCGUGUUAUCCCAGCACUUUGGGAGGCCAAGGCAGAUGGAUUUGACCCUAGGAGGCAGAGGUUGCAGUGAGCCAAGAUUGCACCACUGCACUCCAGCCUGUACGACAGAGCGAGACCCUAUAUCGAAAAAAAAAAAAAAAGAAAAAAGAAAAGAAAACACAGCAAAAUGUUCGUGGUUAACAGCACUAUGGGUAAGUUCAGCUUUGCACUUUUCUAUAACAACAUGAAUAACAUAUCAAGAUUAAUUAUAUUUUAAAAAUAUCUUUUUUCUUAUCUUGAAAGUCAUGUUUAUUUUUCGUAAAACAAUAUGAAUAAGGAGAAGAAGAAAAACAUGUUAACAUUUCAUGUAUUUCCUUCCAGUCCUUUCUCCACACAUAUUUCCACAUCUAUAAAUAGAUAGGCUUUUGACUAGGGAAGAAAAAUCCCAAGGAAUUUUGGAGGCAUUCUCUCUGAGCUUGGAGGUCUCAGUUCCCUGGAAGUUCCCUGCAGCUCUGGGAAGCGCUGGGCGGCUGGCCCAGGCCUGUGGGGUGAGAGCUGCUCCCUGCCCAGGAUCUCGGGCCAGGGUGAGCCCAUCACCUCACCAUCCUCCAGCAGAACGCUGCCCCUCAUUGAUCCCAGGCCCAACUUCUCCAGUCCAGCCUCCUGGCCCUGGUCCUGCUUCUUGCCUCCCUUUCCAGGGACCUCUAAGCAACCCAUUUGCUAAUGAAUCCUGACCUUUGCAACAUCUCAAGCCUCUAACCCGUGGGAGACUUUUGCCUCUUUCAAGUGGUUUGGCAGUUGUUGGCCACGGGUGGGGGAUUUUCCGUUUCGGUUCCAUGAGUUGGCCAAUCAGCAGCAGAUUUGGCCCCGGAGGUUUGGUGGGGCCGGGGCCUGCUGGGCCCUGCCCGGCCUCACCCUGCUCAGGUGGGGAUACUUGCCACCAGGCUGUGCCAGAGCUGGCUGCCCUGGGCCCCUGGGAAUCUGUUGGCAGCACUCAAGUGGCCCUGCAGGGCUGGCGACUCAUUCACCCCCACAAGCAAGGCCAGCUCACCCUUCCCAGGCUCAGGGGCUCUCUGCUCUUCCUAAGAAAUGCCAUGCACACUGGGGAUAAG